AGGUUACUGCUAUCGAGGUUCGACUAAGCCAUGCGAGUCGAAUGUAGCAAUACAUGGCGUACUGCUCAGUAACACGUGGACAACCUACCCUUAGGCCUGGGAUAACCCCGGGAAACUGGGAAUAAUACCGGAUAUAUCGCGAAUGCUGGAAUGCGUCGCGAUAGAAAGCUCCGACGCCUAAGGAUGGGUCUGCGGCCUAUCAGGGUAGUAGUGGGUGUAAUGUACCUACUAGCCUACGACGGGUACGGGUUGUGAGAGCAAGAGCCCGGAGAUGGAUUCUGAGACACGAAUCCAGGCCCUACGGGGUGCAGCAGGCGCGAAAACUUUACAAUGCCGGCAACGGCGAUAAGGGGACCUCGAGUGCCAGGAUACAAUCCUGGCUGUCGUAAUGCCUAAAAAGCAUUGCAUAGCAAGGGCCGGGCAAGACCGGUGCCAGCCGCCGCGGUAACACCGGCGGCUCGAGUGGUAACCGCUAUUAUUGGGUCUAAAGGGUCUGUAGCCGGCUGAAUAAGUCUCUUGGGAAAUCUGGCAGCUCAACUGUCAGGCUUUCAGGAGAUACUGUUCGGCUCGAGACCGGGAGAGGUGAGAGGUACCUCAGGGGUAGGGGCGAAAUCUUGUAAUCCUUGAGGGACCACCAGUGGCGAAGGCGUCUCACCAGAACGGAUCUGACGGCAAGGGACGAAAGCUAGGGGCACGAACCGGAUUAGAUACCCGGGUAGUCCUAGCCGUAAACGAUACUCGCUAGGUGUCGGCCACGGUGCGACCGUGGUCGGUGCCGUAGGGAAGCCGUGAAGCGAGCCACCUGGGAAGUACGGCCGCAAGGCUGAAACUUAAAGGAAU
rnacentral:rRNA from 1 species